CCGACACGGAGUGUGACUUGUCUUAUAUAAUUGUAUGGAAUAUUGAUUAUAUAUAUCAAUUGAUAGAAGCCAUUUUCGCGGAGACUGGAGGCCGAUCGGCAGUAAAGCUAAGCUACAAAUGGGAGAAUCCAGUGCAGAAAUAGCAAAGGAUGUAACUGAAUUGAUUGGAAAAACCCCACUGGUGUAUCUCAAUAAGGUAGUAAAUGGCUGUGGAGCCCGGAUUGCUGCGAAGCUUGAGAUGAUGGAACCUUGCUCCAGCGUCAAGGAUAGGAUUGGAUACAGCAUGAUUGCUGAUGCGGAGGGGAAGGGUCUUAUCACACCAGGACUGAGUGUCCUGAUUGAGCCAACUAGUGGUAACACUGGUAUUGGACUGGCUUUCAUAGCUGCUGCCAAGGGUUACAAGCUCAUUCUUACAAUGCCCGCCUCAAUGAGUAUUGAGCGAAGGAUCAUUCUUAAAGCUUUUGGUGCGGAAUUGGUUCUCACUGAUCCAGUUUUGGGAAUGAAAGGUGCUGUUCAAAAGGCUGAAGACCUUGCUGCAAAGACACCUAAUUCUUAUAUUCUUCAGCAGUUUGAAAAUCCUGCUAACCCCAAGAUUCAUUAUGAGACAACUGGACCAGAGAUCUGGAAAGGAACUGGUGGAAAGGUGGAUAUGUUGGUUUCUGGUAUUGGAACAGGAGGCACAAUUACUGGUACAGGAAAGUAUCUCAAGGAACAAAAUCCCAACAUUAAGCUUUAUGGUGUGGAGCCAGUUGAAAGUCCUGUGUUAUCUGGAGGAAAGCCUGGUCCCCAUAAAAUCCAGGGGAUUGGAGCUGGUUUUGUCCCUGGUGUUUUGGAUGUUGAUCUCGUCGAUGAAGUUAUUCAAGUCACAAGUGAUGAAUCCAUUGAAAUGGCAAAGCUUCUUGCACUCAAAGAAGGUCUGCUGGUAGGAAUAUCAUCUGGUGCUGCUGCCGCGGCAGCCAUUAAGAUUGCACAGAGGCCAGAAAACAAAGGAAAACUCAUUGUGGUCGUCUUCCCCAGCUUCGGCGAACGUUACCUUUCGUCUGUGCUCUACCAGUCAAUCAAGAAAGAAGCUGAGAACAUGGUUUUUGAGCCAUGAAGUUUCUUUGUGCGCCAAGAAUCCUUAUCCAAGCAAUUCGACGAAAGCAGCCGGAAGGCUCUACCCUACUGCAAUUGUCCUUAGAAAGAUGACAAGAGUGCGAGGAGCCACAGCCACAUCAAUAGCAAUUGUUCUUCUUCAGACAAAAUCUACAUACAUAUCACUAUCCUUCCUCUCUAUCAAAUUGCAAACCUUGCAUAAGAAAUGAUUACUACUUGGCGGUGAUGAUCAAACAGCUACCUGAAGAGACUCCAAGGAGACCACAACAUCCCUCAUCAGAGGCCUUGCCUUGAGGUUGUGAUUGAGGCAGUGGCUGGCCAACCAUGCCACCCUCUGAGCAGCUUUCUCAGGGUAGUUUUUCCCUAGCUUGGGAUCCACAAUGGCAAACACUCUCUGUCUCUUGGUCAGAUAUGGCCCUGCCCAAUCCACUAGUGUCUGCUCGCCCGCCGGCCGACACUUGUCCAGCGACCUCUUCCCCGUGAGGAACUCCAGCAGCACGACUCCGAAGCUGUAAACAUCGCUCAUCGCCGUCAGAUGACCUACAAACACCAAGAGUUCACAUCCAGUUCCACUUGGUAAACUGAACCAACACAAUUGUAAAUAGAGAGUUUCAAACUGAAGUUUCAUGUACCCGUCUUCAAAUAUUCUGGUGCUGCAUAGCCACAAGUCCCCAUUAUUCUAGUUGAAACAUGAGAUAUGUCCCCUACUGGACCAUUCUUUGCGAGGCCAAAGUCUGAAAGCUUUGCAUUGUAAUCCUAAGUGUAGAAAUGAUGAGGAAAAAAUAUCUAUAAGAUGUUCCAUGCAUUGAGAA